rnacentral:rRNA from 1 species
GACGAACGACACAAGCGUUAUUCGGAAUUACUGGGCGUAAAGGGCGCGUAGGCGGCGUGACAAGUCACUUGUGAAAUCUCCGGGCUUAACUCGGAACGGUCAAGUGAUACUGUCGUGCUAGAGUACAGAAGGGGCAACUGGAAUUCUCGGUGUAGCGGUGAAAUGCGUAGAUAUCGAGAGGAACACCUGCGGCGAAGGCGGGUUGCUGGGCUGAUACUGACGCUGAGGCGCGAAAGCCAGGGGAGCGAACGGG